UAUGCAAUCCUCAUUCUUUUGCCAUGACAUAGAUGGAUCAGCACAAGACACAGGACAUAUAUUUGAGAAUUCAUAUGGUGGAAAACCUCUAUGAAUAUAAUCAAAUUUGAAAAUCUCUCAAAAAGAUCUUGAUGUCUACUCUGUAGAAAAUACUCCAAAUUGGAUACAAAUAUAAUGAGAGUAAUAAACAUGAAAAGAUCUCAGCCAGAUUUCAAAUCUAAAUGUGCACUAGAGAACUCAUGCUGCAGGGAAAUUAUGUGAAUUCAGUGAAUGCAAGAAAGUCUUCACUGAUCUUUCACUUGUUAAAAACACACAUGGCAUCACACACUGAACACAUACCCUAUCAAAGUAAGGAAUAGAGGGAAUCCUUUAUGUGUUCCUUGUAUUUUAGGAAUCAUGAAAAAUUUCACACUGGAGAAGAAUUCUAUGAAUAGACAUGUGUGAGAUAGGCUUGAUUUCUUCCAGAUCUCUUGCUGUACAUGUAAGAACUAACGUUGGAGAGAGGAUUUAUCAAUAUAGAGAAUGAAGAAAAGCCUUCAUUUAUUCCUCAAAACUUCCUGUUCAAAUGAAAAUAAACCAAAAAGGAACUUUAUGCAUGUAAGAAAGAUGGGCAAGUAUACAGUUUGCCCUCUUCUUUCAAUAGAAAUGUGAGAACAAACACCGAAGACAGCCUCUAUAAUUGUAAACAAUAUGAAAAAUCCUUCAUUUAUUCUUCAUAUUUUACCACUCAUGUGAUAAUACACAUUGGAGAAACACUGAACACAGCCCUUCAAGUUGAAAAGAGGGACCUUGCAGCCAUGUCGAUGAAAGUUACAGGUAAUGAUGAUUGUGCUGGACUGUGUUAUAUGG
rnacentral:lncRNA from 1 species